CACAUCAAAAUGGCUCUAUAAGAAGCAAGCAAAAUGGUUUAAGGGCAAGGGAUUAUGGAAAUACCCCCACAAGUAGAGCUGAGAGGACACACUUUGGACUGGGAUUCCUGGAAACUACACAAACCCAGAUGCACCAAAACCUUUUUCAUCGCGUCUCACUGCAACUUUCGAAUAGCUCAAAGAAUGUUAGGGAAAAUGGGUGUUUGGAUAGGAAGAAACAUUUGUCCUCUGCAACUGAUCUGUUUUCAGAAAAUAGUGAAGAUAAGAUGGUUUCAACUGCAGAGAGAGUGAAAUCUUUUCAAACUGAUGAAGAUCCCUCUUUAGUGGAGCUUUUGUUCCAGUAUGAUUGAUAUCUACUUAUUUCAUGUUCACGGCUUGGAACUCAAGUGGCAAACUUGCAGGGAAUAUGGAACAAGGAUAUUGAGCCAGCAUGGGAAAUGUUACAGGUGAACUAUGAAGCAAAUGGUUGGGUUGCACAUCAGGUGUCACAUAUAUAGGCAAAAACAUCUCCUGACCGAAGUCAGGCUGUUUGGGCUUUAUGGCAAAUGGGUGGAGCGUGGCUUUGUACUCAUCUAUGGGAGCAUUAUACUUGUACUAUGGACAAAGUAAGAUUUGCUUAUACUUAUAAUGGGAGCAUUAUACUUAUACUUGCUGGGCUGCUGCUGUUGCAAUGUUGCUGUGAGGCAGCUGCUACUAGAUGUUGGUCUACUGGAUAAGUUUGUGGGUGAUUUUCAUGCUGUUUUGUCUGUCUUUGUUAGUUUCAUGUUUUCAUUUGAUUAUCUGUUGUUUCUAAUGUGAGUUCACAAUUUGGAUGUAUUUGGGUAUUUUAGUGACUUUACCCUUUUAGGUUUUAUACAUUGCUUCUAAAAACAGUAUCAGUAGUGUUUUUUUUGCUUGCACAUAAACUUUAGGUGAUUUCAUAUCAAUGUUAUUAGUUUGUAAUAGUGGUGCCUGAGGGAUGCCUCUUGUAAA